rnacentral:tRNA from 1 species
GGGGUUGUGGCUCAAUGGUAGAGCGCUUGCUUUGCACGAAUGAGGCUCUGGGUUCGAUCCUCAGCACCACA